rnacentral:lncRNA from 1 species
AAAUUCAUAACUUGCUCAUUUUUGAUCCAAAUUCAAUGGGAUUUUUUGUGUUGUGUUCAUCAUGAUCUCUACUUUUUUAUCAUUAUUUUUCCAGAAUUUUUGGAUGAGUGGUUUUUAAAUGGUGCUAGAGUUUGUGACAUGUGACCAAAUUUUGUACAUCUUGCCAAAACAUUUGUGAAAUGAUGAUACUUUAUCCAAUG